GAGGCACAGAACUGCACUGUUUAAAUGGUUACAGGAAUGGAGUACUGGAGGACAGGUGAAAGUCUUGGAAGACAAACAAAUCAAGAAGAAUGUGAGAGGAUUUGAAAUUGUGGCCUAAGAGAUCCCUUGAAGUGCUAUUAACAAAUUCGCACCCUAUCUGGUAUUAUG